rnacentral:tRNA from 1 species
UGAUUUAUAGUUUAAAAUUUAAAAUAUUUAAUUUGCAUUUAAAUGAUAUUUAUUAAUAUGAAUUUAAUUAA